UGAACGCUAGCUACAGGCUUAACACAUGCAAGUCGAGGGGCAGCACAGUGUAGCAAUACAUGGGUGGCGACCGGCGCACGGGUGCGUAACGCGUAUCCAACCUUCCCGAUACUCUUGGAUAGCCUUCCGAAAGGGAGAUUAAUACAAGAUGGUGUUUCACUUUCGCAUGUUAUUGAAACUAAAGAUUUAUCGGUAUCGGAUGGGGAUGCGUGACAUUAGGUAGAUGGCGGGGUAACGGCCCACCAUGCCUACGAUGUCUAGGGGUUCUGAGAGGAAGGUCCCCCACACUGGAACUGAGACACGGUCCAGACUCCUACGGGAGGCAGCAGUGAGGAAUAUUGGUCAAUGGUCUGACGACUGAACCAGCCAUGCCGCGUGAAGGUCACGGCCCUAUGGGUCUUAAACUUCUUUUGCGAGGGAGCAAUAAGGUCUACGAGUAGACUGAUGAGAGUACCUCGCGAAUAAGCAUCGGCUAACUCCGUG
rnacentral:rRNA from 1 species